rnacentral:lncRNA from 1 species
CUGGCCGGCGAGUUAGGAGGGCGGCGGCAGGGCCUUCUCCUGUGGUGGCGUCCCCUCUUGGCGCGGGGGAGGCGGCGAACACCGGCGGCGGGGAGUGGCGGCGGCGAGCUCUCCGGGCAAGACGAUGACGGAUCUACGGUUGCUGUCACCGGAUCUGGCCUAGCCCAGCGGAAGCGGCCAGCGUUGUGGCGCAGCGCGAACGAAGGAGGUAUGGCUAGCGGCGGAGGGGCGCCCCUCUCUGGCAGCGGAGACGGCUCGCGAGGCCGGCGCGCGCGCCGACACACGCAAGCAGGGCGCGAGGCGUCGCCCGGUGGAGCCGUCGGCGGCAGGACACAUCGGCGGCUCUGCACCGGUGGUUGGGGCGACACUGUCCUAGCCGCCGUGGCGUCCGCCCCCUCCGGCCUGCCCCCCCUCCCCCUUCUCCUUGAGUUGGCGGCAGGGUUGCGUGGAUUUGAAUGGGGUAUCGCGGGUGAAAGCCCUGCUGUGCCGUUGGCCGGCUUGAUGACGGCGGCGUCUUUCGGCGUCGUUCCCCUCCUUGGAGGCGUUGUUAUAGCGUUGACCCCUUUCUUUUCCUUGCCGUUCUCCGGCGGUGGCGGUGACCACGUCGUGUCCUUCUUGAGGCACCGCUUUGGAGAAGCUUUCUCGUACAAGGAUAUCGUUGGUCUUUGCAUUGGCUUCGAAGCUUUUCAGUCCUAG